rnacentral:SRP_RNA from 2 species
GCCAGGCAUGGUGGUGCGUGCCAGUAAUCCCAGCUACUCGGGAGGCUGAGACAGGAGAAUCACUUGAACCCGGGAGGUGGAGGCUGCAGGGAGCCGAGAUCGCGCACUGCACUCCAGCCUGGGCAACAGAGUGAGACUCUGUCUCAA